rnacentral:rRNA from 1 species
CCCUUAGAUGUUCUGGGCCGCACGCGUGCUACACUGAGUAAUUCAAUGGGUAAGGGAACGCUAGAGCUUUACCUAAUCUUGAAAUUUGCUCGUGAUGGGGAUCGACGGUUGCAAUUUUCCGUCGUGAACGAGGAAUACCUUGUAGGCGCAUGUCAUCAUCAUGCGCCGAAUACGUCCCUGCCCUUUGUACACACCGCCCGUCGCUCCUACCGAUUGAGUGAUCCGGUGAGGCUCUGGGACCUGGACGGAAAGAGCGUUUCGCUUGUUCUGUUUGGGAAACUUGGUCGAACCUUAUCAUUUAGAGGAAGGAGAAGUCGUAACA